rnacentral:rRNA from 1 species
CUACGUAGCUCAGAGUUUGAUCCUGGCUCAGGAUGAACGCUAGCGGGAGGCCUAACACAUGCAAGCCGAGCGGUAUAGAGUAGCUUGCUACUCUAGAGAGCGGCGCACGGGUGCGGAACACGUGUGCAACCUGCCUUUAUCUGGGGGAUAGCCUUUCGAAAGGAAGAUUAAUACCCCAUAAUAUAUUGAGUGGCAUCAUUUGAUAUUGAAAACUCCGGUGGAUAGAGAUGGGCACGCGCAAGAUUAGAUAGUUGGUGAGGUAACGGCUCACCAAGUCAAUGAUCUUUAGGGGGCCUGAGAGGGUGACUCCCCCACACUGGUACUGAGACACGGACCAG